AACGAACGCUGGCGGCAUGCCUAACACAUGCAAGUCGAACGGGCUCUUCGGAGCUAGUGGCGCACGGGUGCGUAACGCGUGGGAACCUGCUCUUAGGUUCGGAAUAACUCCUCGAAAGGGGUGCUAAUACCGGAUAAUGUCUUCGGACCAAAGAUUUAUCGCGCUUUGGAUGGGCCCGCGUAGGAUUAGGUAGUUGGUGGGGUAAAGGCCUACCAAGCCGACGAUCCUUAGCUGGUCUUAGAGGAUGAUCAGCCACACUGGGACUGAGACACGGCCCAGAAUGCUACAGGAGGCAGCAGUGGGGAAUAUUGCAAAAUGGGCGGAAACCUGAUCCAGCAAUGCCGAGUGAUGCGUGAAGGCCUUAGGGUUGUAAAGCUCUUUUACCCGGGAUGAUAAUGACAGUACCGGGAGAAUAAGCCCCGGCUAACUCCGUGCCAGCCGCCGCGGUAA
rnacentral:rRNA from 1 species